UGGGGAAUAUUGCACAAUGGGCGGAAGCCUGAUGCAGCAACGCCGCGUGAGCGAUGAAGGCCUUCGGGUCGUAAAGCUCUGUCCUCAAGGCAGAUAAUGACGGUACUUGAGGAGGAAGCCCCGGCUAACUACGUGCCAGCAGCCGCGGUAAUACGUAGGGGGCUAGCGUUAUCCGGAUUUACUGGGCGUAAAGGGUGCGCAGGCGUUUUGUUGUGUUAGGAGUUAAAUCUCAAGGCUCAACCUUGGGGCUGCUCCUAAAACUGGCAGAAUAGAGUGUGGAAGACGGAAGUGGAAUUUCUAGUGGAGAGGUAAAAUCCGUUGAUAUUAGAAGGAACACCCGUGGUGUAACCGGCUUCCGAGUCCAUAACUGACGCUCAGGCACGAAAGCUAGGGUAGCAAACA
rnacentral:rRNA from 1 species